GACGAACGCUGGCGGCGUGCCUAAUACAUGCAAGUCGAGCGAGACUCUUCGGAGUCUAGCGGCGGACGGGUGAGUAACACGUGGGCAACCUGCCGGUAAGACUGGGAUAACACCGGGAAACCGGUGCUAAUACCGGAUAAUCCUUUCUCUCUAAAGAGGAAAAUCUGAAAGUCGGGUUCGGCUGACUCUUACCGAUGGGCAUGUGGCGCAUUAGCUUGUUGGUGAGGUAACGACUCACCAAGGCGACGAUGCGUUGCCGACCUGAGAGGGUAGGUGGCCAUACUGGGACGGAGACACGGCGCAGACUCCUACGGGAGGCAGAAGUAGGGAAUCUUCCACACUGGACGAAAGUCUCAUGGAGCAACGCCGCGUGAGCGAUGAAGGCCUUCGGGUCGUAAAGCUCUGUUGUUAGGGAAGAACAAGUACCGGAGUAACUGCCGGUACCUUGACGGUACCUAACCAGAAAGCCACGGCUAACUACGUGCCAGCAGCCGCCGUAA
rnacentral:rRNA from 1 species